AAUAUCAGGAAAAAACGAGGCUUCAACCUCAUUUUCUUCCCUGCCAGGCAAACGGCGACAUCCAAGGCGAACGACCCAGGUGAACGACAACAGCCCAGGACGACACUAAGGAUGGCUCGCAAACAGUGGUGAACACCAACAAUAAAUGAGUUGUACGACUCAGACGGCGCCGAUGUGGACAUCACCGGAGUUGGGUUCACAUAGGGAUGGGCUCACGAGGGAUUGGGUUUGCUAGAAUUGAAUUUGUGGGGAGAUGGGUCAUGGGGCACCGAGCAUACAUAUGAUUUUGGUUCUUAUUUAUUUAAGCAUUCUAAGAUGUAGAAAAUGCACUGUUGUAUUUUGGGUUAGUCACACUUCAUGUUUAUCCUCUUAUCUGAUAUAGAUACAUCAUAUGCACAUAUUUCAUUUCUAUCUGAUUUUCUAAAAUUGUUAUUAUUAUUCUAUCAAUGUCUUCUGUAAUUCUAACUUUUCCUAUAUCAAACAUGGGCAUAUGUUAUUGUAUAUGAGAUUUUGUCUCUUGGUCGUCGUUUGGAUAAGUUAAAAAUAAUUUUGUUCCUUGGUAACUUUCUGUUGGAGUUUGAAACAUCAGAAGAAAUGGAAAUUGGAUCCAAAUUUUACCAAGUCUUGGUACGACAGAGGUGCCAAAAUAUUUGAAGCAAAGAAAUAUAUAGAAAAGAAGCUUGGGAGUAGUAAGUGGAACUUAGUAAUUGAGUGGCCUCAAUAUUUAUUAGAUGGACAAUGUUAUUUGAUUUAUUAAAUAGUGUUAUGACUUGGUUUUGUUUGAUCAAUUUAUUUUCUUUCUUAUUGUUUUAUUUUUCUUAAGAUUGUUUUGAAUUUUAAAUUAAUGAUUAGUUAUUGGAUUUGAAUAAUAAUGUGUUGUUACGUGUGGUUGGGGAAAUUGAAGAAAAAAAGAGUUAUAUAAUAUGUAGUAAUUUUAAUAACAAUAGAAAUUCAUUCGCUAUUAGAACUGUAGUGUGUGAAGUUUUUGAAAUCUGAUCUUACCAUGUUGGUCUUAGCUGAUAUAGCUCUAUUCUUUAUUUAAUGGGACUGUAUUGUUGAUCUCUUUAUUUGAUUCUUUUAGCUAAGAAUUGGUUGUGAAACCAAGUUUUUCAAUUAAAGUUUGUUAAUUCAUUUAUUGUUUAUUUCUUCGUACAUCCAUUUUAUAGUUGAUUAAUUCAUCUUAAACCAUUUUUCUGUUUAAUCUAGGUAAUUGAGUUCUUAAAAUGAAUUUUAAAAAUGAUUGUUUUUAUCUACUUGUAUAGUCUAUUAGCUUUAAAAUGUUGUUAUUCUGACAUUUUUAUUUGAAAUUGUAUGGAUAACAGAAGACAAUAUAUGAUAAUAAUUUAUCAGGUCUAUGCCUGUGUGUUCUGGCUAUAUUUUUAUAAAGUACCAGUUUAAAAUUUUCUGCAGAACUUAAUUCAUCAAACCAAGUAAUGAGAAUAAAACUCAAUAACGUGUCAAAGUGACAAGUGGAAGAAAAAAAAAUGACAACACAUAAGCUUCUGAAAAGAUGUUUUUGCUAAUUAUGCUUAGAAUACAGCAGAUAGAGUUAAUGUUUUUUUUUUAACUAAUUGACAAGCUUUGAUUUGAAUUGCAGUCACAUGAGGUGAUAUAUCAUUUCAUUAUUUUUUCUUUUGUCACGAUUAAUCUCUUUGCAAAGCAUAUUGGAAAAUCAGCUGAGCAAAUUGAAGCUGACAUCAGGCGUCCAAAAUAUUUUAGUCCGAGUGAGGCAGUUGAAUAUGGUGUCAUAUACAAGGAAGUAGUACCAAUUCUUACUUUGGGAAGACUAUUGGUAACGAUAGUGAGUACAAGGACAAGAAGAAGAAAUAUAUGUUACUAGACAAUGAAUUUAGUGUUUUAUUUUAUUUGUAAUUUUUAUUAGAAUAAAUGAUUCUUUGUAAAUACUUUGUAUAAGUUUUGUUAUUUUAAUCUAUAAUUUUUUA